GACUGAUUUCCGUAUAUGAACUGCAACUCAGUAAAAUUGUUGAAAUUGUUGUAUGUUGCAUUUAUAUUUUUGUUCAGUAUAUAAUCCACUAGAAAUAGGUAAUAGGUAAUAGGUUGUGUGUUUGACUGUAUUCUAGUGCACUAUCCCCUGUCUUUCUUUCUCCCAGUUCCACCUGGUCAGUGUUGAGGGACAUAUUGAGGAUGGAUGGUCCUCAAGGCCUCUUCCAGGGAAUGACCAGCACCUGGCUCUGAGAGAUGCUGUCCCACUCUUAAUCAGUGGGGGAGUUGUGGGGGAGUGGAUUUUGGUUGGCAGUGUCAAAUCCAGAAUCUAGGUUCACUCCAUGUCAGGCAAGCAGGCUGGGUUUCUCAGAACACUGAUCGGUAUCAUAAGGACAGAAGGUGUGCCUGCUUUGUAUUCUGGUCUAACCCCCACUUCCCCUUCAACUGAGCUCUAUUCCUGGCUUAUGAGUGGACUAGAAGAGCCCUCCUCAACCGAACAUCUGCAUCCUGAGUUAGUUUGUAGGGAUGGGGCAGAAGAGGUUUGUAAAUUCAAAUUCCCCAAAAAUGCAUUAACAUCUACAAACCUCUAAAACUACAUUGUUAAUUUGUGUUAACCUCUGAUCUUGUUUUGACCAUGUUUUCUAUGUCUGGGGUGUAUUCACUAAGAACCCAAUGGAACCAAAUGUAAUGAAAAGGGGAGGGACCUACCUGAAUUUGUCCAAUAGAAUUUUUGUUUUGUUUUUGCAAAACGUUUUCUGGUUUGGAGCAAACGGUUACCGUUGCAAAACAUUUUGCAACAUUUUGCUAUGGUCUUUGUCUAAUGAAUACACCCCUGGUCAAUAGGUCUAAUGUCCAGCCACUGAACUUAAUGAGUCAGUACACAAUCAAAGGUCUCUAUGCACUACAACAACUCUAACAUUCCAGCCACUGGCCUGAGACAAGCUUUACACAAUUUCACACAGGAUCUGUUGUGUUGUCAACUAGUUUAAAAAAAUGAUCCUUCUAUUUACAGUAUAUGCGUAAAUAAAAGCUUUACGUAUUACAUUAUAUAGCUACAGCACAGUUCAACACUGUUAUAUUUUGUGUUAUGUUUAUUAUUUUUUCUACAGUAAAUGUAUGUUACAUAAGUCAAAUGUUAUCCCUCCUUUAUCAUGUCAGAAAGCAAUGUAUUUAAUGGACAACAAUCAAAUCAAAUUGUACUUGUCACAUGCGCCGAAUACAACAGUCAAAUGCUUACUUUACAAGCCCUUAACCAACAAUGCAGUCAAGAAAUAGAGUUAAGAAAAUAUUUACUAAAUAAACUAAAGUAACAAAAUAAAAUGACAUAACAAUAACAAGGCUAUGGGGAUACCGGUACUGAAUCAAUGUGUGGGGGUGCAGGUUAGUCGAGGUCAUUUGUACAUGUAGGUGGGGGUAAAGUGACUAUGCUUAGAUAUGUGUUGCAUUGAACAUCUGAAUGUGAUCCUAACCGGAAGUACAGUAAAUGGAUGUUAGGUAAUGUGACCACUGUAUUGAAUUAGGUUUCUCUCUGUUUUUAAGUUGACUGUUAAAAUUCUUCAAACCCCUUUUUUUCUCCGUUGUCAGCAGACAAACUGGUGGUCUGAUAUAGUCAGCGUGAAGACAUGAUGGUCAUCAUUUAACUCAGCGUAUCCUAAAUACACAUACAGCAACUGUCCACCAAGUUUGAACUUUGGGACAGAUUCAAACCAUAUUCUUGGAUAGAUCAAAUAAAAUACU